UCUUCUAGGAAACUGGAUUGAGGUUCCCCAGCGGGAAGACAAACUCAGUGCCCCAUUCCCAAAGGAGCAAAAUGAACUCAUGUUCACCGUUUAAAACUGUUGCUUGCAGGACAAGAUUAAAACUUGCAGGAAAGACAAGAUCCAUCCCCUGGAUAUAGCUCGGAUUUCUGAUGCUGAAGCAAACCCGGCCGUGCUGCUGUCUCCAUUGCCAUCUAGCGGCACCCCGAGAUUUCUUUCCUCCAGGAAGCUUCCACCGAAAUUCUUCGCUGGAGAAAACCUCUCAUUGACUGCCUUGGGUUUUGUCUGCAAUAAACACCAGGCAGCUCUUCCUGCUCGGGCUCCUUUGUGCACACUCAUUUGUUUUAACUCCCUGUGGCUUUUCCUCAAUACCAGCCACCGUUUGUUUGUGUUCUUGAUCAGCAUGAGUCACUCCUUCAGCAAACGGUACGGGACGCAGGACUUUGACCUCGUUUUCAUCGUGCAGUUCUGGGAGAAUCCGUGUGGCUUUGAGGGGGUCACUUCAGGGACGGAGGCGGGCUGCACCUUUCCCUCUUCGUUCUUCUUCCUCAGCAACCAAAACACUCAUUUUGCCUUCAAAAGCAACAGUCCCCCUUGGGGAGGAGAGGGGACAUCGCUAUGAGGCACAGAGCCACAGGGUCUCCCUGUCACCUGCCGUGCCACCCGUCGGGCAGUGCUCCUGCAGCUCCCGCAGCCGCCAGGUGCUCUGUGAGCGCUGCUAUUUAAGCACAACCCCAAAGCCAAACUCUCCUCCCUGGGUGGAUUGCAGACCCUUGGGGACACCGUGAUGAUGUGCAGCAAAGCCCAGACCCGUGGGGGGUGGCCCUGACACCGUUAGCAGGAUGGCUGAUGAAAAACACACACGGGCACCCUGUGAAAUACUGAUUACGUUUCUGUGCUUUUUAUAGCAAUAUAGUACUUUAUUUGGGACCGGGAAACAUAUUCUCAAAUAUUUUGUUUUAAAUUACCUGUACACACACAGAGCCUGCUUGCGGAAAGGGAGCACCUUUUUACUACUUACUUAAAUCCAUCCGUCAUCAGUGCAUCACCACCAAAAUAAACCCCCCAAAGUUUCCUUUUGCUCUGGAAAU
rnacentral:lncRNA from 1 species